GGGUCAAUGAUGAGAACUCAUACUGUCUCUAACAGAGAUGAUGGCUUAAAAAGCAGGCUCAAUAGGAUUACAUCAAACCC
ensembl:snoRNA SNORD115 Small nucleolar RNA SNORD115